CUGACUCUCCUCUCCAACAUACAGGUUACAGGUGGUGUCAGGACUGACAGAUCCAGGAAUCAAACAGAUGAUGUUGAAGUCCUCAUCAAAUUUUAAGGUAAUGUCUGGUUUUGGAUCUGUUAGGAAAGGACAGAGACUCCUUUUUGCAUCACUCAAUUUGAAUGUAAUGUACAGUGGGGCAAAAAAGUACUUAUUUUCCACCAUAAUUUGCAAAUAAAUUCAUUAAAAAUCCUACAAUGUGAUUUUCUGGAUUUUUUUUCAUUUUGUCUGUCAUAGUUGAAGUGUACCUAUGAUGAAAAUUACAGGCCUCUCUCAUCUUUUUAAGUGGGAGAACUUGCACAAUUGGUGGCUGACUAAAUACUUUUUUUUGUAUAUGUCAUAAGUGACACUCUUACUAAACUAGAAACUGCCAUUCUCUUUAUAUUAACUAACAGCAUGUCUUAUUUGAUAUCAUCAAUAUUUAUGCGUUCCAAUUAAUCAUGGGUGCUGUGUUUACAACGAUUUCCUUUCACUUAAUUCUUGCUUGUUAAAUUAAAUUACAUCGAAUUGACUAUUUUGCUUGCAUGUAUGGUGUGGGGGAUGAUGGAGUGUGUCACUUGUCAUUUAAUUAUAAAUUAAUUUUCAAAAUUUAAGUACUCAUAGAUAUUGCAGCACCUGAUAUACGUUUAAAAAAAAUAAUAAUUCACUGUUGUCUUUUAGAUGAUAACAAUGCAUCCACAAUUAUGUAGUUUGGGUUAACAAGAUAAAUUUGAUUGAUUGAUGGUAUUAUUAUUUAGUAAAAGUAAAAACGCUCACAAGGACCUUGGGCUUCGAUGUAUUGGAAGGUGACUGGAAAUAACACAAUAGGUCAUGAUCAGGUAAAUGUGCCAUUCAAAAAUAGCAUGAUAGACAAGAACACUGUAGAAGUUGGUAAAGUAUCAUAU
ensembl:lncRNA